rnacentral:rRNA from 1 species
UACGGGGGGGGGCAAGCGUUGUUCGGAAUUACUGGGCGUAAAGGGCUCGUAGGCGGCCAACUAAGUCAUACGUGAAAUCCCCCCGGCUUAACCGGGGAAUGCGUCUGAUACUGGAUGGCUUGAGUUCGGGAGAGGGAUGCGGAAUUCCAGGUGUAGCGGUGAAAUGCGUAGAUAUCUGGAGGAACACCGGUGGCGAAGGCGGCAUCCUGGACCGAUACUGACGCUGAGGAGCGAAAGCCCAGGGGAGCAAACGGG